UUGGGUGUGGUGCACGGUGCACAGCAGCAGAUAAUGGCCAAAUAUAUCUGAAACCUAUACCGGCUGCAGUCCGGGGUUCGACUCCCCGCACCCGAA